CCUACGGGAGGCAGCAGUGAGGAAUAUUGGUCAAUGGGCGCGAGCCUGAACCAGCCAAGUCGCGUGAGGGAUGACGGUCCUACGGAUUGUAAACCUCUUUUGCCGGGGAGCAAGCGUGCGUUCGUGAACGCGCGUCGAGAGUACCCGGAGAAAAAGCAUCGGCUAACUCCGUGCCAGCAGCCGCGGUAAUACGGAGGAUGCGAGCGUUAUCCGGAUUUAUUGGGCUUAAAGGGAGCGUAGGCGGGCGUUCAAGUCAGCUGUAAAAUCGCGCGGCUCAACCGCGCCCCGCAGUUGAAACUGGACGCCUUGAGUUCACAACAGGCAGGCGGAAUUCGUGGUGUAGCGGUGAAAUGCAUAGAUAUCACGAGGAACCCCGAUUGCGAAGGCAGCCUGCCGGGGUGCGACUGACGCUGAGGCUCGAAGGUGCGGGUAUCAAACAGGAUUAGAUAUCCCUGUAGUC
rnacentral:rRNA from 1 species